CGCACCUGGCGCCCCCUCCCUGAAGGGCACGCCGUCCUCCCCGGCCGGGCCGCCUCCUUCCCACCCCCGCGCUCCUAACGGUCGUCCUCCUGCCCCUCGGAAGCUCGGCCCGGGCUCCCCACCUCCCCCCGCCCGCAGUCUCCGCCCGGGGGCCCCGGACCCUAAUGCCCGGUGCUGCCCGGAGAUUGCCCCCAACGUGCCUCUGGCUUCUUAUCGAAAUUAGCUGGGCCCUGCAGGUCUUGAAGUCCAAGCGUUCCAUGACUUUGGCUAACGUGGAAGCCUUUUUUCUUAACCAAAGCACCUCGGCUGGGUCUUCGCUUAAAUUUCCUUUCAGCAAGCGACGUUAGUGCUUGGUCAUUGGGGUCUCCUUCCUCCUGGCUGCCUGGGCUUGUGAAACACCUUAGUCUUUCCUGUUAGCAGGCUGGGCCCUUCCCAGCACAUCUCCCCUGAUCCAGCAGCUCUCCAGCCACAGCCCCUCACACUUUGCCUUUUUAUUUUGUUCCCUUCAAGUUCACUUCAAAAAGAUCCUCAUCGCUCAUAUCUUACGCAGUCAUUACUGUAAUUUCCAGUAAACUUCCAGGUCUGGUCCAUCGUAGGGCCCGGCCUGACCCUGAGAGGUAGAUGCCCAACUAGUACUUGUUGGCCGGCUCUUUCCUCCAUCCACCCAGUCUCCUGUCUUGCUUCUCAUUGCUGCUUUUCCAAAGAUCAGCCUUUACAAUCUCUCUGCCCCUGAGAGCUGAUGUGCACUUGCAAUUUAGCCCUGCCCUUUGGCCUUGCACCUGAAACACCAUCAGUACCAACAGGCUGGUCCCUUUUGCUGCUCUCAGGGUGAGUUUUCUCUCUGGCUCCUUCAAGUAUACCGUUCCUUGUGCACUGCUGCAGUCCGAGCCACUCACCCUUACUCCCGCCUCCGUUUUUUCUAGGUGGUGUGUCAUUGGGCAGAGUUGGGGCAGAUCUGGGCUUUGUGUUGCUACCAUGGCCUGGGGUCCAGGGACCUUGAGGGUCCCAUAUGGCGAUUACAGUCAAAUGAGUUGUGUUCUAAGACUCUUGGCCUGGUUUUCUCAGCCAAUGGAUGUGUCAGUAUUGUGUGUGGUUUGGUGGAUUAAAGGACCCCAGUUUGCCCCAGCUUUUACAUCUGUGGUUGGAGUUUGGGAUGGGGGAAAAAAACCCAAAAAAACAGAAAUAGCCCCGCUUUAGAGCAGAGGAGGUGAGAAGAGGUGGCUCUGGGCAGGAUUUUUAGUAGUCUAGUAAGGAAUUAAAAAUGGUUUCAAAGUCACAAAGUGUGCCUGUGAGUUUGGGGUGGUUGUGGGUACACGUGAGCCCCUUCUCCAGGCUGGCUCGGGUGUCUGGGACAUCAAGGUCUGUUGGGGCAGCUGAGGCUCCCUUCCCUGUUUUCCCUGACUGGAGCCCAGGUCUGGGCAAGUGGGCAGAAGGAUCAAAUGAGGUAAAGUGUGAAAGUGCUUUGAAAACUGUUAACUGCUAGACAUGCCACUGGGUGUGGUCCUGAUGGCUCAGAGAGCAGAGCCGGGAUAACUGACCAGCAGGGAGAAACUCAGGCUUGCACCCCUUUUUAAGCCUCAGAGUUCUCAUCCGACCUCGGACCAUGCGUGGCAGAGAGUCUUUCCAUCCUGAGAAAGGGCAGAGAAACCUCCAACAGGCUUGGGGCUGGGCGGUUGCUCAAAUGUUGGGGAAUUUGGGAUUCUACUUCUCUUGACAGUGGUGCCUUCCUGUGCCAAGGCACAUUGCUCUGGAUCUGGGCUAAUUUUAGGGGUGAUGGAAUGUUCUUAACUUAGUUUGUACUGGGACUGCCUAUUCUCUGGAUCUUUUCCUUCUGUGAUUUCUGAACCCCAGAGAGCAGGCUCCCCUCCUGUUCCCUCAAGCCUGUUGUGAGCACCCAGGACCAGUGUGUGUCUUCUCCCCUCGAUUCCAGCAGGGGGCAGUCUUCUAAUAGCAAUAAUUCAGAUGCUAGGGGAGUGAGAGUAUACAGAGGCUAGAGAAGGAGGAGACUGCCUGGGAGGGAAUGGGUAGAUGAAGCGGGUAGGGCUGAGGGGGGGGACUAAGCACAGCACCAGGUAGCCUGGAAGGGAUACUGUCCCCAGUUCCCUGCCUGCCACCUCCCGCUCUUUUCCUUCAUUGGAAAGAGAUCAGAGCCCUGGUCGUUGAGAGUUGGUAAUAGAGAAACUUAGGGGAAUUUUUUUUUUUUACCUUUUCUUUUCUCAAGGAUUUCUUCCUGGCAGGAUUUCAGAUUUCUCUUAUGGGACAGUGUAAUUAGGGAAUGAUUUCCUUGUUCUUCAGAGGGGAGAAUGAGCUGGAGUCAGUUUUGUUUCUCUUGUCUUCCAUUCUUCCGCAUAAGCAGACUGUAGGCGUUCCCCUCUGCCCAAGGGGUGCAGGGGGUUACUUGACCACUGUCGGGACUUGGGGGCCAGAUAAUUCUUUGUCCUGGGGGUUGUCCUGUGCAUUGGAGGAUGUUUAAUAGCAUCCCUGGUCUCUGCUUAUCAUGAGGUGCCAGUAGUGUUUCCCAGUCACACCCACCAGCUGUUGCCAGGUGUGCCAUGGGAAGCAGAGCUGCCCCAGUUGAGAACGGCUGGCUUUGAGGAAGCAGGUGGAAAAGAUGCAUGCCUCUUUGGAGCACUAGAAGCCCUAGUGUGUGUGUGCUGCUCACAGCCUGUGGAAGAGCCUGGCAGCCACCAGGUUCCGGGACCCAGUCCUCUGGCCGAGCUCUUUCUUACCAACUGCUCGUCUGCUCCCUCUCACCUCCGCAGUCUCCCUGCUUCUCACACCGGAGCCAGCCAGCCACAUUUCCUCAGUACGACCAGGACAGAAGGACCCUUCCGUCCUGUCCAUUUAGAAGAUGGGGCUCUUCUGAGGUGAACUGGAAGACUCAGAACAGCCUCUCCUAAGUUUGUUUGAAGGAAGCGGGCUGUUUUUCUUGGAGUGGGAAUGACUUAGCCCUGGCACCCACUGUCUACUUCCCUCUGAAUUCGACUCCCCUAGGAAUCUCACAGUCUUGGAGUUGAUGGGAACUGUGGAGGCGCUCCAGUCCAGCCUCCGCCCCAGCCAGUGAGGGAAGCCCUCCCACCCUCUGCUCGGAACCACCAGGGAUGAGCCACCUCCCAAGAGCCGCCUCUGCUGUUCCUUAGAGGGGCAGGUCACUGCUACCGUCGCCACUUCUGUCAGCCUCAGAUCUUGCCUAGAUGUGAAGGUCCCUCCCUGGGCACUGCUCUGGUCAGACCAACAUCCAGUUGCUUGGGGACCCUGGUUCACUCCAGCACAGCCCUUUUCCUGAGAGAACUUGGCCCCCGACCUACCUGCUUCCCUGGGCAAGGCUGCCAGGUUUCCCCCCAGCGUGACUCUUUGGUUAACUCAUGGUGUGAGUGACCUGUGGCUGGCUCGGGUGUUUGGAGAGUGAACGCCAGGUACCCCCUCCCCUGCUCACCCCCUGCGACCUCUAGGACACACCUAGCUCCACGAUGGCAGCAGAGACCCUCAACUUUGGGCCUGAGUGGCUGAGGGCCCUUUCUAGUGGUAGCAGUAUGGCCUCCCCACCCCCGUCCCCUGCCAUGCCCAAAUACAAGCUGGCUGACUAUCGCUACGGGCGAGAGGAGAUGCUGGCCCUCUAUGUCAAGGAGAGCAAGGUCCCUGAUGAGCUGCAGGACAAGGAGUUUGCUGCGGUGCUGCAGGAGGAGCCACUGCAGCCCCUGGCGCUGGAGCCUCUGACUGAGGAGGAGCAGAGAAACUUCUCCCUGUCAGUGAACAGUGUGGCUGUGCUGAGGCUGAUGGGGAAAGGGGCUGGUCCCCCCCUAGGUGGCACCUCCCGUGGCAGGGGCAGCACACGGAGCCGAGGCCGAGGCCGUGGUGACAGUUGCUUUUACCAAAGAAGCAUUGAAGAAGGCGAUGGGACCUUUGGCCGAAACCCCCGGGAGAUCCAGCGUAGCCAGAGUUGGGAUGACAGAGGCGAGAGACGGUUUGAGAAGUCAGCCAGGAGGGAUGGAGCACGAUCCGGGUUUGAGGAGGGAGGGGCUGGCCCGAGGAAGGAGCAUGCCCGCUCAGAUAGCGAGAACUGGCGUUCUCUCCGAGAGGAGCAAGAGGAAGAGGAAGAGGGCAGCUGGAGACUCGGGGCAGGACCCCGGCGAGAUGGCGACCGCUGGCGCUCAGCCAGCCCUGAUGGCGGCCCCCGCUCGGCUGGCUGGCGGGAACAUGGGGACCGGCGUCGAAAGUUUGAAUUUGAUUUGCGAGGGGAGCGAGGCGGGUGUGGUGAAGAGGAGGGGCGGGGUGGGGGAGGCAGCUCUCACCUCCGGAGGUGCCGAGGGCCCGACGGAUUUGAUGAUGACAAGGACGGGCUCCCGGAGUGGUGCCUGGACGACGAAGAUGAAGAAAUGGGCACCUUCGACGCCUCCGGGGCCUUCUUGCCCCUCAAGAAGGGCCCCAAGGACCCUAUUCCUGAGGAGCAGGAGCUCGACUUCCAGGGGCUGGAGGAGGAGGAGGAAGAGCCGCCGGAAGGGCUGGAGGAGGAGGGGCCUGAGGCAGGCGUGAAGGAACUGACCCCCCUGCCUCCUCAGGAUGAGCAGUCCAGCUCCCCAUCCCCACUGCCCACCUUGGGCCCGCUCUGGGGAGCUAACGGGGAGGGCGAUGAUGCUGUGGACAAAGACCUGCCAGCCGCUGAAGGAGACGACACGAGGGGUAUGCAGCUGAGUCCUGGUGUGGGCUCACCCCCUGGCCCUCCAGGAGAUCUGGAAGAUGAUGAAGGCUUGAAGCACCUGCAGCAGGAGGCAGAGAAGCUCGUGGCCUCCCUGCAGGACAGCUCCCUGGAGGAGGAGCAGUUCACAGCUGCCAUACAGGCCCAGGGCCUGCGCCACUCGGCAGCUGCCACGGCCCUCCCCCUCAGCCACGGCGCAGCCCGGAAGUGGUUCUACAAGGACCCACAGGGGGAGAUCCAAGGCCCUUUCACGACACAAGAGAUGGCAGAGUGGUUCCAGGCCGGCUACUUCUCCAUGGCCCUGCUUGUGAAGCGGGGCUGUGAUGAGGGCUUCCAGCCACUGGGUGAGGUGAUCAAGAUGUGGGGUCGUGUGCCCUUUGCCCCGGGGCCCUCACCACCCCCACUGCUGGGAAACAUGGACCAGGAGCGGCUGAAGAAGCAACAGGAACUCGCGGCAGCGGCCUUGUACCAGCAGCUGCAGCACCAGCAGUUUCUUCAGCUGGUCAGCAGCCGCCAGCUCCCGCAGUGUGCUCUCCGGGAGAAGGCAGCUCUGGGGGACCUGCCGCCACCGCAGCAGCAGCAGCUCACCGCAUUCCUGCAGCAGCUUCAAGCUCUCAAACCCCCCAGGGGUGGGGACCAGAACUUGCUCCCGACGAUGAAUCGGUCCUUGUCCGUGCCAGACUCGGGCCCCCUCUGGGACAUACAUACCUCAGCCUCAUCACAGUCAGGCGGUGAGGCCAGUCUUUGGGACAUACCAAUUAACUCUUCGACUCAGGGUCCAAUUCUAGAACAACUCCAGCUGCAACAUAAAUUCCAGGAGCGCAGAGAAGUGGAGCUCAGGGCGAAGCGGGAGGAGGAGGAGCGCAAGCGCCGGGAGGAGAAGCGCCGCCAACAGCAGCAGGAGGAACAGAAGCGGCGGCAGGAGGAAGAGGAGCUGUUUCGACGCAAGCAGGUGCGGCAGCAGGAGCUUCUGCUGAAGCUGCUCCAGCAGCAGCAGGCCGUGGCUGCUGUUCCUACGCCUCCUGCGCCCAGUUCCCCGCCCCCAUUGUGGGCCGGCCUGGCCAAGCAGGGACUAUCCAUGAAGACGCUGCUGGAGCUACAGCUGGAGGGCGAGCGGCAGAUGCAUAAGCAGCCCCCACCUCGGGAGCCGUCACGGGCCCAGGCCCCCAACCACCGUGUGGUGAGCAGGCUGGGCCCAGCCCCUGUGCGCUGGCACCUUUGGGGCGCUUGGGAACCCCUUCCGGUCAGCUCCUAGGGUGACCCGGGGUGGGGAGGCAUGCUGGUCCGUGCUCAAAUCUGGAGGCUCUCCCUGCUGCAUGGCCCUCACCUUGCCCCGCCCCCUUUGCCACCUGAGCGAACCGCCCGCUCAGCAUUCUUCAGUGUGGGUGUUGCUGUUUGGGCCACCCUGACUCCCUGCCAUCCGUAGCAGCUUGGGGGCCUGGGCACCGCCCCCCUGAACCAGUGGGUGUCUGAGGCUGGGCCGCUGUGGGGCGGGCCCGACAAGAGUGGGGGCAGCAGCGGCCUGGGACUCUGGGAGGACACCCUCAAGAGCAGCGGGAGCCUGGCCCGCAGCCUGGGCUUGAAGAACAGCCGCAGCAGCCCCUCUCUCAGUGACUCCUAUAGCCACCUGUCAGGUCGGCCUGUGCGCAAAAAGACAGAGGAGGAAGAGAAGCUGCUGAAGCUGCUACAGGGCAUCCCCCGGCCCCAGGAUGGUUUCACCCAGUGGUGUGAGCAGAUGCUGCACACGCUGAGCACCACAGGCAGCCUAGACGUGCCCAUGGCUGUAGCGAUCCUCAAGGAGGUGGAAUCCCCCUACGACGUCCAUGACUAUAUCCGUUCCUGCCUGGGGGACACGCUGGAAGCCAAAGAAUUUGCCAAACAAUUCCUGGAACGGAGAGCCAAGCAGAAGGCCAGCCAGCAGCGGCAGCAGCAGCAGGAGGCGUGGCUGAGCAGUGGCUCCCUGCAGACGGCCUUUCAGACCAACCAUAGCACCAAACUCAGCCCUGGGGAGGGCAGCAAGGCCAAGAGGCGGGCGCUGAUGCUGCACUCGGACCCCAGCAUCUUGGGGUACUCCCUGCAUGGACCUUCUGGUGAGAUCGAGAGCGUGGAUGACUACUGACCAGCCCGUCCCACCAGCGCCCUGGGCUGUAGGCCAGGGGCAGCAGCAGCGGCUUGGACCCCAGGGUCCCCAGCCUGCAGGCUCCCCUCGAGGAGCAUAGGAGGAAGCAGGGGCAGGGGCCCCAGCACUUGUUACAAACCACACGAUGCACCUUAAUUCACCCACCACGAGGCACUUUACAGAUUGGGGGGAAGGGGUUUUUUUUCUUUUCCUUUUUUUUUAAAUUUUAAACAACAUUGAAGAGAACAUUAGGAAGAUGAAAGAGAUUGUUAAAAACUAGACUCUAAGCACCCCUUUCCCUUUUGGGGAUAGUGGGCGUGACCAUGGAAGAUCCACAGAGGUUUUGUUUUGUUUCGUGUGUGUGUUUUUUUUUUUUUUUUUUUUUAAGAAAAAAGAAAAACAAUGAAAAAAAAAAUGGUUAGGAGACUGAAAGAAAAAACACACUGUUAUUUUGGGGCAGUGGGGACAUGGGCCCCACGGACCUGUCCUGCCUGGCCCCCAAGGCUGCACUUACCCUCCCUGCCCCACAAGGUGGGCUAUUGGGGUAACUGGAAGCUGGGGUGCCAGCAGUUUGCACAGCGAGGCCCCCACAGCCCCGCCGGCCGGACCCGCUGUGAACGGCUCCCUUGUUGCUGUGACUGUGGCGGGGGUGUCUGGGGUGGGGGCCAAAGUAGCCCCUUGGCUUUGCUGCUUCGGGGGAAAGUUGCACAAAUGGGUCAGGCUGCCUCGGUGCCCCAGGCUGCCAUCCUACGCUGGCUCACGAGGGUGGAUGGGAGAGGGCCAGCCGUGCCAACCUCAUCUGGCUGUUAGGCCGGCAGAACUUCCACUCUGGCCCUGGUGAGGGGUUUGAACCCCCCACCGCUGCCAUUCGGGGGUCCGACCUGGGUAUGAAGCUGAAAGCCCAGCUCCCUGCCUUGCCACAUGAAUGUAUUCUCUGGGCCACAAGCCCCUGCUGCGCCCCCUGCCUCAACUCUGAGCGAGGUGGGGGCGGAGCGGUUCCUCCAGGAGCUGGAGAGAGAGGCACCACUUAAUGACUGUCAUUUCUCCUGUGAAGGGGGCGGAGGAGGGGCCGAGGAGUCCAUGGCAGUGGGCAGCUUGGGGCUUCAGGUUGCAGUGCGGGGGGCUGUUAGGAGUCCCCCCACCUGCAGCUAGCUGUGUGGCAUCUGGACCACUCAGCCUUGCCCUGACCCCUCCACUGACCAAAUGGGAGAGGAGCAAGUGGCCUCUCCCCUCCUGCUCCCCUGAUGUGUUUUUAAUGUUGGGUAGGGUGGGGUGUCAAGGAUGGGAGUGUCUGUCUCCUGGGUUGGGGGGUAGGCUGCCCUUCACCAACUUCUUAUUCCCAAUCACCUAUCUAGGUUUGUCUCCAUUUGUGGGGUGGGGGGGGUUGUUUUUUUUCCCCAGUUUGUAGUAUCUCUUGGAUUUCCCAUUUAACUUUUCCCAUGGACCUCAUUGCUCAGAGUGCAGUAUUAGGGCAAGAUUCUGCCACUGCCUCCCCUCCAUGAAUGUAUUUCUCCUUCCCGCCUGCCCUGGGGAAAUGGGGAGUGGCCCCAGUUUUCUUUCCCCAUCUGUCCCCAGAGAGAUGACUUUUUUUUUUUUUUUUUUUUUUUUUUGCACCAAAGUGGCAACUGGGUCAGUGUUGGGGGAUAAAGCUGGCCUCGGGGGUGGAGGGAUCCCCUCCACCUGCUUCUCCCUGGUUUCAACAGUGUUAGCGUCCGUGAAAAGACAAUAUUCUCUCUAAAGCAAUAAGGGGGUGAUGGGCCAGGGGGAAAUGUCUUGCUGCUGCUGGCCCCCCAGCUCCCCCUUUCCUCGAGCCAGUAUUUGGCGGCAUUAGAGGUGUGGGGGGAGUACUGUUGUGACUGAAUGUAACUGCCCCCACCCCUGCCGCAGCCAAUGCAGGGGGCAGGGGGAUGACACUCUUCCCCGUUUCUUCCUCCCCCCUCCCCCCCAGCUAAAGAGACUUUGAAUUUAGGGGGCCCUUGAGCCUGGAGAGGCCUUAACCCUGUGAGGAAGUGUAGGGGGAACCCUCUCCCACCCCCAUCCCCUUCUGAGAGUGGUCAAUGUUUACAAGCCCCUGAGCCCCCCAGCCCAGGGACUCAGCCCCUUUGCUGUCCUUUCCCAGCCCGUCUUCCUGGGCCCAGCUGCUCUCCCGCCCUUCCUGGGGUUAGGGUGGGUGCAGGGGUCAUUCUGUAUCCUGGCGUCAGCCUUGUACCCACAGUCUCCCCGCCCCCAUGUGACUCCCCUCUCUUCUACCUGCCCCUGUAAAUACUCCCCUUCCCCCAAUAAAACUUGGUGUGUGUUCUCCCCUUC